rnacentral:rRNA from 1 species
GGCCUAACAGCUAGCCUACUCACAUAAAAUCAACAACCAAACAUAAAUAACCCCAUAAGCACUACAAAACAAAAACAAACCAUUUUUCCACUCUAGUAUAGGUGAUAGAAAAAGACCAUAGAGCAAUAGAAAAAGUACCGCAAGGGAAAGCUGAAAGAGAAAUGAAACAACCCAGUCAAGCUAGGUAAAGCAGAGAUCAACCU